GCCGGCGUGGCUCAGUGGUAGAGCAGUCGAUUCGUAAUCGACAGGUCGUCAGUUCGAAUCUGACCGUCGGCUCCA
rnacentral:tRNA from 1 species